UCCUGGCUCAGGAUGAACGCUGGCGGCGUGCUUAACACAUGCAAGUCGAACGGAAAUGACACGCUGAUGCGAUUUCGGUCAAAUCAUGUAUCAUUUUAGUGGCGGACGGGUGAGUAACGCGUGGGUAACCUGCCUUACACUGGGGGAUAACACUUAGAAAUAGGUGCUAAUACCGCAUAAGCGCACGGGGCCGCAUGGUCCUGUGUGAAAAACUGAGGUGGUGUAAGAUGGACCCGCGUCUGAUUAGCUAGUUGGCGGGGUAACGGCCCACCAAGGCAGCGAUCAGUAGCCGGCCUGAGAGGGUGGACGGCCACAUUGGGACUGAGACACGGGCCCAAACUCCUACGGGAGGCAGCAGUGGGGGAUAUUGGACAAUGGGGGAAACCCUGAUCCAGCGACGCCGCGUGAGUGAAGAAGUAUUUCGGGUAUGUAAAGCUCUGUCAGCAGGGAAGAAAGAAAUGACGGUACCUGACCAAGAAGCCCCGGGCUAACUACGUGCCAGCA
rnacentral:rRNA from 1 species